CUUCCCUCAGAGGCUGUGUGUCAGACGCCUGGUACCCUGGUUCUUUGGGCGGGUGAGCCAAUUAGCACAUUCCCUAGUCUGGAACUGUAGUUGCUGUGUAUGUGAUCUGCAUACUGAUUCAGCUGAGAUUUGACCUUCUGGGCGGAGAAAAACAAGAAUCCCAGGCAAGGGCGGAUGAGUGAGCAAGAGAAGAUGUCUAGGUUGGAGCUCAUAGUGCUCAGUGGAUCCUUUCAGAUGUCCUGGGCUUCCAUCCCUGGGAGAUGUUUCCUUCCAGUACAUGCUUUCUUCACUUCCAGAAAAGGGCCUGAAAGACAAUUCUUCAUUGCUGCUUAUUAACUUUGUGAUCUUGGGCAAGUAUCUUAAACUCUCUGUACCUCAUAUCCUUCAUUCAUAAAAUGAAGAUAACAAUAGUAUGUUAUAUUACACUCACAUUCUUAUGAGGUUUGAAUGAAAUACAUGUAAAAUUUUUAAAAAUCCAUGGUACAAACAUGUUCGUUACUGUAGUCAUGUUAAUAUCACCAUUAACUUCAAUCUGAAUACCUCUAUUGAUGAAUACUUGGUUCAUCUUGUACAGAUGAUAUAAAACCAGGGAUGAGGAACUUUCAGUUUUCUAUUGUACAUGCAAGGAUCUUAGAAGUCACCAUUCCUUCUAACAAGAAAAUGAUGAACAAAAGGAAAUAUCAACUUUCCUUGGAUCCAUAAGAGAGGUCAAGACACAGUCUCAAAGAUUGAGGAGGCAGACAGGCAAAUACAGGUUGUCACAGAGAAGACUCAGCACAGACACUGUAGUGGGAACCAGAGCCAGAGCAGGAAAAUCUGGAUUGUAACUGACAAAUUGCUGGAAGCUCAGUGUGGAUAAGUCAGAUUUUAAAAUCCAGGGGGACCCAUCAUUAAGGUUCUGCCACUUAAACCCUUUGUGUUUUACUACUAGAACUUUGAGUAGG
rnacentral:lncRNA from 12 species